rnacentral:rRNA from 1 species
AUAGAACGCUGGCGGCAUGCCUUACACAUGCACGUCGAAUGGCAGCACGGGGCAACCUGGUGGCGAGUGGCAAACGGGUGAGUAAUGCAUCGGAACGUACCUUUCAGUGGGGGAUAACGUAGCGAAAGUUACGCUAAUACCGCAUAUUCUGUGAGCAGGAAAGCAGGGGAUCGCAAGACCUUGCGCUGAUUUAGCGGCCGAUGUCAGAUGAGCAAGUUGGUGAGGUAAAGGCACACCACGGCGACGAUCUGUAGCGGGUCUGAGAGGAUGAUCCGCCACACGGUAACAUGGACACGGUCCAGAAGCCUACGUGAGGCAUCAGUUAGGAAUUUUGUACAAUCGGGGCAACCCUGACCCAUCCCUGCCGCGUGAGUGAAUAAGACCUUCGGGUUUUAAAGCUCUUUCGGCCGAGAAGAAAUCGCACUGGCUAAUACCCUGUGUGGAUGACGGUACCGGAAUAAGAAGCACCGGCUAACUACGUGCCAGCCGCCGCAGUAAAAC